rnacentral:antisense_RNA from 1 species
CUUCACCGAACCGAGCAGCAGCGGCCGGGCACGGUCCUGCCCGUACGUCGCGAUCAACGCCUGCGCCUC